UGGAUACUGCUUUCUGGCCGAUAUACAAACCCGUCUCGCCUACAUCUUUUCCUGAUUCAUAAUUCUAGGGUUCUUCAGCUCCUUGGAGAUCUGAUUCGCUCUACUAACAAUGGUGGCUCUGGAAUGGCGUGUAACUCCACGCUUCUUCAGUAAUCUACACGUCGGUGUCUGUUCAUGUCGUUUCGGUCUGGCUUCUUCACCUCCAAACGGUUACAAGUCUCGCUGAUUCAAUGUCAUUAACCACGAUCUUGCAUUCAAUGAAUCUUAGCCUUAUUCGAGGCGGUGGUGGGAAUUCUCACAUAUAAAAAGGUGCGGCUGCUCGGAUUUUGGGAAGCCAGAAACUUUAAAGGUGGUGGCGAAUUGAUGGGUGUUAUAUGAUCCUCCUUAACGCUAAGCGAUGAUGAGCAGUUCCUUGCGACAAUUCAUGAGUGUUCCGAUCCUGAGAAUAGUGCUUCUUAUGAUAUCACUGAGAACAUGUUUGAGAAGGCUUCUUAUGUAAAGCAACUUGAUCAGUUUACCUUAAUCGAAAUUCAAGAACUGAUGGCCGGAGUUAGAUCCUUGGAAGCAAUGGAAACAAUAUAUGAGCUUUGGAAAACCAAGAGGCAUAGCAAGGUAAUGCCACUAAUCGGGCAUCUUCAGGUAUGACCUCUAAUGCCUUUCCAUCGUUUUUAUGAUAUUUGAUUUGUCUUUUUCGCAUGUAUGUCUUAAGGUGUCAAAAGUCAAAACCUGCAUUCCUAGGCUCUAUAUAGAUCGUUAUGUACUUGGGUUGACCAUCAAAUAUUCACUCUCUCAGCAUCCUGAGCGAAGGUGUCUGUCACUACCGGACUUUUUUGCCAUUGAGGGCAAUGAUGAUGAUGGAGAUGCCUGGGAACAUAUUAGGGCCUACUAAUGUUGACGUUGGUGGUAAUGUUCGUGAGGAAUCACCAACUAUAUGAACAGCAGCACCGUCAUCUUCCAAGGUUGUCAAGAAGGCCUGAAUCGCUUAGGUGAAGAUCGUUAAGUAUUUGGAUGCAGUAUUUGCUAUUUGAAUAAUGCUAAGGCAUCAAUUUUUUUUUUUUCUCUUGCUAUGUUUUCUCAGACAAUCUUCAAAAGUUCUGCUUAAGUUUGAACUAAUAUAAAGAUAUUUAUCUCA